ACCGGGUGUGGGAGGGGGGUGGGGGGUGGGGGUGGGGGGUAUCGGGGAAACUGGGGAAGAUGGGAGAGCUGGAGGAGAGUCGUGGGGUCCGAGGAGCACCUCGGCAUCUGGAGUCUGGCAGGAAUGUUGAAGGACUGAGGGGCUAGCUCAGGCAGAGCAAAGGCAUCGCAAAGGCUGGAAAACAUCGGAGUGAAGCUGAAGGGCCUGAGCUAGGGUUGGAGAGGAAUGGGGAGCCAGACAUUCAUCCCGGUUACUUUUGGUUACAGGACGUGGCGGCUGGUCGGAUAAAGGGGAGCUGCUGGGAAGGGUUCGACCCCAGACCUGGGCAGUGAAGGUAUAGCUGGCAGCAGUGGGCAGGCGAGGCAGGCGGGGCAGAAUGAAUGAGUUUCUAGGGAGGGAGGUUGGGUGCAGGUAGAGCGAGUAGCUGGGGUGGUGAGCCAGGGAGGCACUGGCCUCCAGAGUCCGUGGCCAAGGAGGGCCUUGCGGGCGGCGACGGAGCAGUGAUCGGUGUCUCGAAGAGCUCGGACUGGAGACUAGGCCAGGUCUCCAGCAGAGGUGGAUGUGCCUGCCAGUCACUGAAGGCGAGGAUGACAGGUGUGGUCAAUGUGACAGAAAGACAUGACAUGGUCCGGUGUGAUGGAGAGGACAGAAGGGCAGUCAUCCAGCCUUCUUGAACACCAUGGGCUGGCGCCUUGUCGUAGAAGCCGUCUGUUCUUUCACUUUUCCCAAAGAGCUAACACUUCUCUGCUGCUCUCUGGAUCCUCCUCCCCCUACCUUGAACCCUCAAGAUGAAAGAAAUGGUGCUACCCAGCUCAUGUCUGGGCCUUUGAAUCCGGGGACUUCUUUAAGUCCGUCUCGUUCUGAAUCAAGAAGAUGCUGCAAUCAGAACCACUACACUACCUGCCUCAGGAAUCUGCUCCAAGGUGAAGCUGAAAGAACAGAUGGUGUCAACAUUUUGAAAGAGCAGACUCAUAGCACCCACCCACCCCUGAGAAUCCAUCUUCAUGGCCAACUCUGCCUGACCCGGGAGACCACCACCCACAUCAUCCUGGAGCCAAGCCUCUACCCCGGGAUGACUUCAUCAUCUCCCUCCUGUCUUUUUCUUCUUCCUCCUUUCCUGUAAUUCUGUUUCUUUCCUUUUGUUCCUUCCUUGCUUGAGAGACUCAAAGCACCCGUGACUCUGUUUCCCCAUUUACCCCCUUUUGAAUUUGCACUAAGUCGAUUGCACUGGUUUGGAGUCCCGGAGAUAGCUUUGAGUCUCUCCGUAUGAAUGUAUACAGCGAGUGUGUAAACCUCUUUGGCAAUGCUGCCCCAGUACCCACCUGUCGUCCAUCUCCGUCUGAGGGCAACUGGGUGUGGCCGUGUGCUUGAGGCCUCGCCUUCCCCUCGCCUAGUCUGGAAGCAGUUCCAUCAUAAAGUGUUCAACAUGCCCUACUUCAUCCUUUGCCCCUCCUCACCAGGGCCUCACCAGAGGUCCUGGGUCCAUCAAUAAAUACAGUUACAGUCA
rnacentral:lncRNA from 1 species